CAACCUUGCAACAUUGAGACUACCGUCCCGGAAAGAGAACAGAGCGGGAAAUCCUGCCAAGUUUCCCUUUAACAGCUGCUACCGAACGCGAGCUACCGCUGGAGCUGUGAAUCUUCUGAACGUCUUCGCCUGCUGUGCCGUGGUCACUUUAUUUGCUCGUAAACCUUCAGAGGCACAUUUCUCUAAUUAGAGACAAGGUUCCAGACCAGACCAGUGGUGAUGACCGUGUAUGACAUUACAUGUGUGCCUGUCUGUGUGCACACCUGCCAACCAAUCUCUGACAAUGUUGCUAGCAACAUACCUACUAACAUACAUUCUUACAAACAUGUGACCAUAUCUCAACAUAUCUGUACACAUACCAUUUAACCAUACUGAGACUUAUCCGAGAUCUACACUGAGACAUUGUAACUUGUAUACUUGUGAAUCAUUCAUACCUCUGAAUCAUACCUGUGCUGUAACAUACAUAGCUGUGCUGUUAGAUCUCUCUUUUUAGA